UUGUAAACACACCAUAUACUUCAAACAAGCUACAGAGCUCACGUUAAACAUAAAUGAUCCAGGAUUAAACAUGAAAAUGAAUCAUUCUAAGGACGGAGGAUGUGGUCACGAUUUUGCGGACAUGGACAGCUAGAGGUUUUAUUCACCAAACCGACAUGGAAUUCAUUCAGGGAGGAGAUCCUGGCCUCCACAUCUCUGUGGGGAAGGACAGGAACACAGAACACAGCGGAGAUGGCCUUCAACAUGGUGGCAUGAUGGAUGUCCAUCCCUAUGGAAAAGAACACAACCCCAUAAUGAAAUGCUCCUAUUACUAUGACUAAUAAUAGGGUUGAAUUGCC